CCCCGGUGGAGUGAUCGCCUUCUCGGCCAUUUUUGCGCUCGAUCGGUGGGAUCCGAUCUAGGGCACAGCGAGCUCCACACUUGCUGGAUCAGAUUGGGACAACACCAUCCGGAGGUAGUCGAUCAAGAGGAGGUGUUAGUUGGUACAGUGCUUGUGCCGAUCACUGCCUUGUUUCCAAUGCUGGAAGCUGUGGGAGUCUCGGCUGGGGAAUUUGAGAUCGAUUGAGGAAUUGGUGUAGGGCUUCUUGGUAGCUGCCGGCAG